AUUGAACGCUGGCGGCAGGCCUAACACAUGCAAGUCGAGCGGAGCGGCGGACGGGUGAGUAAUGCCUAGGAAUCUGCCUGGUAGUGGGGGAUAACGUCCGGAAACGGGCGCUAAUACCGCAUACUAUCAGAUGAGCCUAGGUCGGAUUAGCUAGUUGGUGGGGUAAAGGCCUACCGAGGCGACGAUCCGUAACUGGUAUGAGAGGAUGAUCAGCAACAAUGGAACGGAGACACGGUCCAGACUCCUACGGGAGGGAGCAGUGGGGAAGAUUGGACAAUGGGCGAAAGCCUGAUGCAGCAAUGCCGCGUGUGUGAAGAAGGUCUUCGGUUUGUAAAGAACUUUAAGGUGGGAGGAGGUACCAACAGAAUAAGCACCGGGUAAAUUCGUGCCAGCAGCCGCGGUAAUAC
rnacentral:rRNA from 1 species